GUCGAGGAUCAUUCGCAAUGGGCGAAAGCCUGACGAUGCGACGCUGCGUGGAGGAUGAAGGCCCUCGGGUCGUAAACUCCUGUCAUGGGGGGCGAGGCGGAGGCGGUUAACGGCCGCCCGAGUUGACGGUACCCCAAGAGGAAGCCACGGCUAACUCUGUGCCAGCAGCCGCGGUAAUACAGAGGUGGCGAGCGUUGUUCGGAUUUACUGGGCGUAAAGGGCGCGUAGGCGGCCGCGUGUGUGGGGUGUGAAAUCUCCGGGCUCAACCCGGAAAGUGCGCUCCAAACUGCGCGGCUCGAGUGCGGGAGGGGAGAUCGGAAUGCAGGGUGUAGCGGUGAAAUGCGUUGAUAUCCUGCAGAACACCGGUGGCGAAGGCGGAUCUCUGGAACGCAACUGACGCUGAGGCGCGAAAGCAGGGGGAGCAAACAGGAUUAGAUACCCUGGUAGUCC
rnacentral:rRNA from 1 species